ACAUGCGCAGUACGGAUUGAGUGAUAGUGGAGAUAGUGCUGCUGUAACUCCAGAAGUGAAGAGGGCAGUGCGCUGGUGAAUCGAUUGCUGCUGCCUCGGCUCGCCAGCACCAACGACUGUUGGACGACUCUUCAUUACUACUACGCGCGUGUGCCGUCAGCGCUGGGAUAUGAUGCGAUGAAGAAAGGCUAGUUUCUGUUGUUGACAUUUUCCUUUAAGUGUGGCGUGUGAGCGUGGCGAAGUUGGUACUGCUUGGACCACAGCGUGCAAAAAGCACCGUCUAUUUGCGCGCUAAAAACGCUCGGACUACCAGCUUUAAUGCAUCGGUGCAGGAAAAUGUUGACAGCAAUGACAGCAAUGAAUUUCAAACCGUUUUCCAAAAAGAAGAGCCCCUUGUUAACAGUGUACACUCGGAGUGUGUUGGGCUAGUAAAAGAGCUGCUGAACCACUUUAUGAAGCAUGAGGCCUACUGCAACUUGCCUGGCAGUGAAAACAACUUGAUGUCGGGUCACCAGAAGGGCUGAAGCAAGUUUUGGAAAUCGGAUCCGACACUGAAAAAGAAAUUCGUAACUGGGAUCCCCAAGAAAAGAAGAGCUUCAGGACAAGUGCACAGGCAUUUUACAUUUCUACUGCGAAACAUCUAAUCAAGCGGCUUCCUCUGGAUAACAAACUGCAAAAAUGAUAACAAAACAUAACAUAAAAUGACAACAAAAUGAUAACAAAAAUUCCAAAAUGAAUUCCAAACAAGGUUUCUCAGAAUAUUGUGAAA